rnacentral:rRNA from 1 species
UACGUAGGGUGCGAGCGUUAAUCGGAUUUACUGGGCGUAAAGCGUGCGCAGGCGGCCCGUUAAGACAGGUGUGAAAUCCCUGGGCUCAACCUAGGAAUUGCGCUUGUGACUGGCGGGCUCGAGUACGGUAGAGGGGGGUGGAAUUCCUGGUGUAGCAGUGAAAUGCGUAGAUAUCAGGAGGAACACCGAUGGCGAAGGCAGCUCCCUGGGCCUGUACUGACGCUCAUGCACGAAAGCGUGGGGAGCAAACAGG